CUCGCUUACUUGUUGACCGACGUGUCAACUUGAAUCUCUCUUCACCUGCGUUUCGAGGUCGGAGCGAUGGCGAAUCAGGGGGCGAAGAAGAGAAAGGAGGAGAACAGGAGGCACAUGGCUAACCUCCUCCGCCUCAUCAUCGCCUCCAAUAUUCGGUUGGCAAUAACCGGACGAUUUCGAAUGCCUCUGCUGUAGCUGUGCAUCUUCGGUAUAAUUUUCUUGCGCGAGCGUUGUUUCUUAUACCUAGCAUAGGACUAAUUUUCCAGUUGUGGUGGCUUGCUCGUCGGAGGGGCCAAAGUUGGGAAUCACCCGACGAAGAUCAUUUUUGCAGGAAAGCGAUCGCCCACGAUCAGCGAGCGUCUCAACCCGGGAAUCGCCAUCCAGUAUGCGAGGACGCGUUAUAGUGUUUAGUUCAGGUUUAAGAAUUGUGUUACUGCCUCUAUGAUUAAGGAGAAUAAUACUUCUUAGCAGAAGAUACACAGAUGUUAUAGUGUUUAGUUCAAGUUUAAGAAUGGUUGAUUUGGUGA